UACGUAGGGUGCAAGCGUUAUCCGGAUUCACUGGGUUUAAAGGGUGCGUAGGUGGGCAGGUAAGUCAGUGGUGAAAUCUCCGGGCUUAACCCGGAAACUGCCGUUGAUACUAUCUGUCUUGAAUAUAGUGGAGGUGAGCGGAAUAUGUCAUGUAGCGGUGAAAUGCUUAGAUAUGACAUAGAACACCCAUUGCGAAGGCAGCUCGCUACACUAUCAUUGACACUGAGGCACGAAAGCGUGGGGAUCAAACAGG
rnacentral:rRNA from 1 species